UUCGUAUUUCACUAAAAUAAAUUACGUUAAUUUGUUAAAAACUUUCGAGUAUAUUCCAAUAUAAGAAAGUAAGUACGUAUAUUAAGUACAGACCAACUUUCUACUGAUCUAUUGUGGUCGACAUGUUCCAGGAAAUUUGUUUUCGUACUUAUAAGCAGAAUAGUCAGAAUCGGGGAAGGUGACCACUGUCUUAGACUAAUAUGACUUCUACUACGUACAAUACUCAGUUGUUCUGUAAUAUAGAUCAUCAUUGGCUUGACAUCAAUGACAAAUGACAUUGAGUUAAUCUUUGAUCAUCACAACUUUAAUCUCUUACAUUUUCGGCCUACGACAUGGACGCGUGUUUUGGAGCCACUAUGAAACUUCAUAGUAGAAGAGUUAUUGGCCUAUAUGAUGAUGGUGAUCUGGGGUUUUUACUUGGCUUUUGUAGCAGGAUUAUUUCAGCACAUUUCCAAAUCUGCAAAAAAUAACCAAUCCUGAGUUAGUUAAAAUGGUUAUACAUCUGAUUGCCUAAAAUGGUUAUAUAGUCGAUGCUUCUUUUAGCAUUUUCAUUAUUAUAAGAUUGUAUUCGGGAGAUUUAUUAAUCUUCAAAUUUUUGUUUAUAAAUGUGACUUCAUUUAUUUUAACUGCUUCAUAGGUUAGCUAUUUUUCAUUAUCGUUAUGAGAUGAAAUAUGUGGUUCAUUUGUAAAUACGUUUUGCUGUUCUUUACCGUUUUCAAGACAUUUUACGGAGAAGAAAAUUUUGAUUUUUUUUUCAAAAGAUGAUUUCACCCUUUAGAAUUGAAUUAUAACAUGGAAAAAUAAGAU